GUUGAGAUGGCUGAGUUGGUCUAAGGCGCCAAAUUAAGAUUCUGGUUUGAAAGGGCGUGGGUUUAAAUCUCACUCUCAACA
rfam:Ipomoea nil DNA, scaffold: scaffold1043, cultivar: Tokyo-kokei standard.